rnacentral:rRNA from 1 species
GACGAACGCUGGCGGCGUGCUUAACACAUGCAAGUCGAACGGAAAGGCUCUGCUGUUGCUUGGUGCUCGAGUGGCGAACGGGUGAGUAACACGUGAGUAACCUGCGCUUGACUUUGGGAUAACUGCAGGAAACUGGUGCUAAUACCGGAUAGGAGCGCCUGCUGCAUGGUGGGGGUUGGAAAGUUUCGGAGGGUUGGGAUGGACGCGCGGCUUAUCAGCUUGUUGGUGGGGUAGCGGAUUACAAAGGAUUUGACGGGUAGCCGGCCUGAGAGGGUGACAGGCCACAGUGGGACUGAGAGGGCAGCAGGAGGGAUACGGGGGGAAGGGGCGGGAGAUUGUCCACGAUGGGCCGAGGGCUGAUGGAGGGACGUCGGGUCGUGGAGCACGGUCGUAAGGUUGUAACGCGCUUGAGCCUGGAAAGAUGAGUGAGUGACGGUAAUGGGUAAAAAAGCAACGGCUAACUACGUG